GUUAAAGUCUCGCCAUGUGUCUACCAGUAUUUAUGGUACCUUGUUAUUGCGGACUGCUAACAGAAGUGCUAUGGUGCUCCUAAUGGCAUUUGUUUAGCACAGCUGGAGACCCUAAAACUCAUCUAUAGAUUUUGUAUAACACGCCCGAAAUAAGAUAUAAACUCCUGGGUUUUGUACACCAAAAAUCAUUCCCGUUUGAUGCUAUAGGUUACUUAUUGCCAGACACUACGAUGAAGUUCCUGCUCCUCGCCAUCAUUGCUGUUGCUGCCCAUGGAGCUCCAUUAGACCAAAUACAACAACUCCCGCUCAAGCCGGUGAAUAACUCUCUUACAAGCACUCUUACCACAAUAUCACAUUGUGAUUAAUAAUAAAAGUGAUGGGGUGCACAUUUUAACCAUCACAGAGGUUUUUUUUAUAGAACAGCUGAUUAUUGCUAUUCUCAAUCGUACCUGUUGUUCUGAUGCGUAUAAAUAAAACUUUGGCACAAUACCAUUUUUUUAUAUAAAAAAGAGAAGAAAAGGGAAUAUAAAUACUUAGUGUUUAACCUAAAUCAUUUGUUCAUGUUUUGGACUAUUUAGAUAUUCUUAUGAAAGAAUAUUUCUUUUAUUAAUUGCAAGGGAGAAUCCAGGCAACAGACAGAGCAAUCUUCUUUGAAAGAGGAAGAACUAAAACCCGAAACCAAACCGUCCUCAAGAACAGCAGAUCUUAGACCGGAAUUCGCAGUCGAGGAAGAUUUGAAACCGGAAACGAAACCUGCUCAACAAAUUCGAAGCGAACAGGAUGCGGAAGAGGAUUUGGUUCCGGAAACCAGACCGGUUGAACGAAGAGAUUUGACUGAUGGGGAGGACGAAGAGUUGGUACCUCAGACGAAACCAGUCCAGCGGAGCAGUGAGUUAAAACCGGAAACUAAACCAUCCCCUAGUCAGUACGUUCGUCGACCGACACCAGAAGAAUUCGAGCCGCCCAAGAGAAGGUUUGUCCCUCGGCCAGUGCCGUUAGAGGAACCAAAGGAAAAUCAGGUAUUACCAGCCGUUUGAUCUUGUUUUUUUGUAUGUUAGUUUCGGGUGUUUAUAUUUAUUGUUGUAAAAAUAUUUUCUAUGCAGGUUGAGGAGAUCACAGAAGAAUGAUUUGGUAUGUAUGAAUAUACUAGGUCAAAAUUUACACUCAAAACUGUUUAUUUUGUAAAUUCAAAGGGAAUAGGCAGAAGUGAAAUGAAUAAUUACCCUUCCUGUCAAUAUCAAUACACUCCACAGACUCUGGUCCUCUGGGACCAUAUAUACAAUAUAUUAAGAGGCAAAAAACAAAAACAGGAAUACCCUUUUUUAGCAAGCAAGUAUAUAAAACGAACACUUACACAGACAUUGCUUCAUGGUCGGGUGAUCGUUGAGGUCCAUGGGCCUUCUUUGUUGAUCAGAUACACGUUGUUAUUAUUUCUCUAAAUAUUCAAGUAUUUGUUAAUGAAUAUACAUAACCUAUAUUGUAGAACGAGAAAGAGAGUUGAGCAGGAAAACGAGAAGAAUAUGGACAUCUGAAAAAAACUUUGAAUAAAUUACUUGAAUAAAGUUAUUUUUGAACUUUU
rnacentral:misc_RNA from 1 species